CUCUCUCUCUCUCUCUCCCUCCCCCCACCCCCUCGUUGUCUCCGAGAUCUCGCCAUGGCCAUGAGGAACCGGACGCCCAUCUACAGGAAGUACCGCGAUGCCCUACGCAACGUUCGGGUCCCUUCCCCCUCCUCCCACUCAGGACCGUCGACCUCCUCCUCCUACUCCGGCAGCGGGGGCGGGCCGGUGAUCGAGCUUGUGAACGCCUCGCUUCUCCGCCCCGAUCGGUCCUACGCUCCUCUCAGCACGGAAGACCCUGGUGGCUCGAGUACAGGUGCAGCUGUGGUUGGAUUACCUCCAGCUUGGGUGGAUGUUUCUGAGGAAAUAGCUGCAGACAUGCAGCGUGCUCGGACAAAAAUGUCAGAGUUGGUCAAGGCCCAUGCAAAAGCCUUAAUGCCUUCGUUUGGUGAUGACAAGGAGGAUCAACAUGCCAUCAAGCUUCUUACAUAUGAAAUAACAGAUGUAUUGAAGAGGUCUGAAAAGAGACUGCAGAAGCUAUCUUCCAGUGUUCCUUCUGAAGAUUCAAAUGUUCGGAAGAAUGUUCAGCGGUCUCUUGCAACUGACCUUCAAAACCUUUCGAUGGAGUUCCGGAAGAAACAGUCUUCUUAUUUAAAGCGUCUUCAGCAGCAACAAGAAGGGCAAGAUGGUGUUGAUUUGGAAAUGAAUCACAAUGGGAUCAGACAUGAGAUAGAAGAAGAUGACUUUCGUGAUGUGGGUUUUAAUGAUAUUCAGAUGUCUGCACUAAAGAGAAGUGAGGUAUUCACAAGAGAGAGGGAGAGGGAAAUUGUACAGGUUGUAGAAUCAGUUAAUGAACUUGCUCAGAUCAUGAAGGAUCUCUCAGUCCUUGUGAUAGAUCAGGGAACGAUAGUUGAUCGGAUAGAUUACAAUGUACAAAAUGUUGCAAGUUCAGUAGAAGAGGGCUAUAAACAGUUAGAGAAGGCAGAGCGAACACAGAGGAAAGGGGGCAUGGUCAUGUGUGCCACUGUGCUUGUGAUAUUAAUUUUCAUCAUGCUUGUCCUCCUGAUAUUGAAGACCAUAUUAUUCUAGUUCUGAUUAACCAACACAUGAAGUCACAUGAUCUCUUGUGAAGCUUGAGCCACAUGGCUUCACCUGUUUGAACAUUUCCAUGGCUCUUGCCCACAGGAUCUUAUCAUAGGUUCUCAUUCAACCAGUUUGCACGUAACUUAAUUGAGCUGAAUCUUGCUUCAUGAUAUAGGAUUGGCCAUGGUUCGAGAGCACAAUCGUCUGACGAGUAUUUCUUCUGAUAAUCAAAGGCCCAGGGACACAAUGUUUUGCCCAAAAGUUCAUAGUAUGUUAAUCAAGCUCUUUUCUCAAGUAGAUUUAUUGUGAAAGCUGGAACAUGUUGUAUGGUUAUUUCUGCAUGAAAGAGAUAUCCUGCCUAUGUGGAGCUGUUGUUGA